rnacentral:rRNA from 1 species
AUGCUCACCACUCGGCCCUCCCCAUCGCGCUCCCGAUCCAGAUCCAUCCCUUCCCCACUCUCAGAUCCAACUGGCCCGAGACAGAGGCCGUCGUGGACAUGGUCGCCAUCAUCCCACCAGCCGGAUCAUCGGCGGCGAGCAGCGUCCGUGAUGGAGAUGGAGCAUAGGGCCUACGGGCGCGUGGGCCUCCUCGGCAACCCCAGCGACGUCUACGGCGGCCGCGCCGUCUCCUUCACCGUCGCCGGCCUCUGGGCCACCGUCUGCCUCCGCCCCUCCGACCAGCUCCUCGUCCAGCCCCACCCGCGCCACGACCUCGUCGCCUUCCCCUCCCUCCACGCCCUCGUAAGCGCCCCUCCUCCUCCCCCUCCCCCAUCCCUCGCAAUGGAUAUAGAUACAUCAACGCCGGUGCAUGAACGGACAGAUCUAGCAAGCGCAAAUCAACCCAUCCAUUGCACCGCGGCGCAGAUGAUCCAUCGAAUCCAUGUCCAGGUGUAG